UAUAGGGACGCGGUCGGCGAGGCGCGGGAGGCACAGGAUGCGGAGAUCACGGCGGGGAUGACGUGGCCGGCGAGCACGGCAAGCGCGCGGGCGUCGCGGUGAGGAUUGGGCUCCUGCCCGUUGGGGAAGAUGACCCCCUGACGGGUGGGGCCCGCCUGUCGAUCGCACAGCGCGCUGGCGCUGGCAUUGGGUCGGUCUGGUUCGGCGGCUUGGGCGAGACUGGGCCGGUUCGGCCCAAGCGGUCGGACCGGUCCGGUUUACUCUUUUUUUUUUCCUUCUCUUUUUCCCUUUUCCUUAUUUCUUUGAUAUAUUUUGAUUUUGAACUCCAAAUUGAUCCAAAUAAGUUCCAAAAAAUUUGUAAAAUCAUGUUUUACCAUGAUUCAACUUUUGCAAGUAAUUUCCCUUCAAAAUAAAAUAUGUAAAAAUACAAUUGCCCUAUAAAUGCCUUUAGGGUUAUAUACCUAUUCGAAUAAAAUACUUUUUCAACUCCAAAUAAUUAUCCAAAAAAAUAUGGGAUAGCUUAUAUAUGCAUUAAACCCCUUUUAUAUAUAAACCUUAAUGGUUUGAAGAUCGAAAGCUCAAAUAGGUGUAAACCCUAGGGUUUAAAAUGAAAUAAAAAUCUUUCCAAAGCCUUUUGAGAUUCAAAGUUGAAUUCAAAUAUGCAAUUGUGGCAUGAUGCUCAUGGAUGCAAUGCAUAUGUAAAAGUUUGAAAUUUUUGGGAUGUUA
rnacentral:lncRNA from 1 species